rnacentral:rRNA from 1 species
UACGUAGGUGGCAAGCGUUGUCCGGAUUUACUGGGCGUAAAGAGCGCGCAGGCGGUCGUUCAAGUCGCGUGUGAAAGCCCCCGGCUCAACUGGGGAGGGUCACGCGAUACUGAUCGACUCGAAGGCAGGAGAGGGAAGUGGAAUUCCCGGUGUAGCAGUGAAAUGCGUAGAGAUCGGGAGGAACAUCAGUUGCGAAGGCGGCUCUCUGGACCAGCACUGACACUGAGGCACGAAAGCGUGGGGAGCAAACAGG